rnacentral:rRNA from 1 species
UGGUGGAGCGAUUUGUCUGGUUAAUUCCGAUAACGAACGAGACUCAGGCCUAUUAAAUAGUUCGCCGAUUCCGAUCUGUCGGCGUUAACUUCUUAGAGGGACAAGUGGCUUUUAGCCACGCGAGAUUGAGCAAUAACA